UGGGUUUUGUUGUUUGUGUGACUGCGAUCCAUCCUGCCGCUCUCGGUUAGCUGCUGUCAGGAGAACCGUGUGUUUGAGCAGCCUUGCCUUCACCCUGGACAGGUCUCCAGUCUGUCGCAGGGCCACAGAGAAUCAUCUUUCAUUGAUUAGCAAAGGGGGUUUGGCAUAGAUUUUUAUGCCAGAUCUUCAUCCUGACACAACCCUGCAUUUUAUCCAGGCUGGGGACCUGCACAGGGGGACACAGACUUGGGCCCCCUCAUAGCUACAUAGUUAGGUAAUAGCGUGAAGGGAAAUUGAACCUGGCAUCU